AAGUCGUAACAAGGUUUCCGUAGGUGAGCCUGCGGAAGGAUCAUGGAUUGUGCAAGGAUAGCGCUUCUACGAUUCCUGUAGACCGUACACUCGGUCAGGAGCUUUGCCAAAGGGUCUCCAUGCCCCUUAAUAACCCCACAGUUUAAUAUGAAGCUCAAUGUAAUACAUUGGGUAAAAAAACCAAACAACUGUUAACAAUGGAUAUCUUGGGUCUC
rnacentral:misc_RNA from 1 species